UACGUAGGGGGCUAGCGUUAUCCGGAAUUACUGGGCGUAAAGGGUGCGUAGGUGGUUUCUUAAGUCAGAGGUGAAAGGCUACGGCUCAACCGUAGUAAGCCUUUGAAACUGGGGAACUUGAGUGCAGGAGAGGAGAGUGGAAUUCCUAGUGUAGCGGUGAAAUGCGUAGAUAUUAGGAGGAACACCAGUUGCGAAGGCGGCUCUCUGAACUGUAACUGACACUGAGGCACGAAAGCGUGGGGAGCAAACAGG
rnacentral:rRNA from 1 species